UGGGGAAUAUUGGACAAUGGGCGCAAGCCUGAUCCAGCCAUGCCGCGUGUGUGAAGAAGGCCUUCGGGUUGUAAAGCACUUUUGUUGGGGAAGAAAUCUCGCUGGUUAAUACUCGGCGAUGCUGACGGUACCCAAAGAAUAAGCACCGGCUAACUUCGUGCCAGCAGCCGCGGUAAUACGAAGGGUGCAAGCGUUACUCGGAAUUACUGGGCGUAAAGCGUGCGUAGGCGGUUUGUUAAGUCUGCUGUGAAAGCCCCGGGCUCAACCUGGGAACUGCAGUGGAUACUGGCAAGCUAGAGUGUGUCAGAGGAUGGUGGAAUUCCCGGUGUAGCGGUGAAAUGCGUAGAGAUCGGGAGGAACAUCAGUGGCGAAGGCGGCCAUCUGGGACAACACUGACGCUGAGGCACGAAAGCGUGGGGAGCAAACA
rnacentral:rRNA from 1 species